UUGAACGCUGGCGGCAGGCCUAACACAUGCAAGUCGAACGGUAACAGGAAGGAGCUUGCUUCUUUGCUGACGAGUGGCGGACGGGUGAGUAAUGUCUGGGAAACUGCCUGAUGGAGGGGGAUAACUACUGGAAACGGUAGCUAAUACCGCAUAACGUCGCAAGACCAAAGAGGGGGACCUUCGGGCCUCUUGCCAUCGGAUGUGCCCAGAUGGGAUUAGCUAGUAGGUGGGGUAACGGCUCACCUAGGCGACGAUCCCUAGCUGGUCUGAGAGGAUGACCAGCCACACUGGAACUGAGACACGGUCCAGACUCCUACGGGAGGCAGCAGUGGGGAAUAUUGCACAAUGGGCGCAAGCCUGAUGCAGCCAUGCCGCGUGUAUGAAGAAGGCCUUCGGGUUGUAAAGUACUUUCAGCGGGGAGGAAGGGAGUAAAGUUAAUACCUUUGCUCAUUGACGUUACCCGCAGAAGAAGCACCGGCUAACUCCGUG
rnacentral:rRNA from 1 species